ensembl:snRNA U6 U6 spliceosomal RNA
AUGCUUGCUUCGGCAGCACAUAUACAAAAUUGGAAUGAUACAGAAAAGAUUAGCAUGGUCCCUGUACAAAAACAACACACAAAUUUGUGAAGGGUUUCAUCUUUUU